UACGUGGGGUGCAAGCGUUAAUCGGAAUUACUGGGCGUAAAGCGUGCGCAGGCGGUUGUGCAAGACAGAUGUGAAAUCCCCGGGCUUAACCUGGGAACUGCAUUUGUGACUGCACAGCUGGAGUGCGGCAGAGGGGGAUGGAAUUCCGCGUGUAGCAGUGAAAUGCGUAGAUAUGCGGAGGAACACCGAUGGCGAAGGCAAUCCCCUGGGCCUGCACUGACGCUCAUGCACGAAAGCGUGGGGAGCAAACAGG
rnacentral:rRNA from 1 species